UCCGUUCCUAAACAAAAAUACGCAACUUUCUCCACUUAUUUACUAUUCUGCCACUUUCUUUAAUUUAAUUUUUAAUCUCGGCUACGAGUUUCUGGGUGAUGAUACUUAAGCUUUUUUUCUUUCUGCUUUGCUUUAAUGGAAGGACCUUGACACUUCUCUCUCUCCCUUUCUCUUUGCUAUUCAUCUUCUACAGUUUCGUAAAAAUUAUUCUCUUCUUCUCCUAAAUAUCUGUGACUCUAAUUUUGAUCGUCUUCUUCUUCGUCUUCAGCUUCCAUUUUUCCAUCAACGAUUUGUUUUUCCCUUGAGGUAACUUUUUCUUCUCUGUUUCGAAUCCGGUAAUUUGAGCUUGAUGAUGUUUGUGUGUGAAUAUGUGUGUUAGUAGUUACUAGAUCUAGGAGUUAUUUAGUUUCUUCGUUUUUUUUUUUUUGGAACUCUUUGAGGUUAUUUCUAUGGCGAAUUUUGGCUUCUGUGAGCUGUUGGCUUAAACCUAGCUGUUGGCUUAAACCUUGCUAGGUUUAGUGAUGUGUAGAUAGAAUUCCGUGGAAGGUGAAAUCUGAGAUCAGCUUGAAAAAUGUAUCUCAACGGUUUAGUUUCGUCGUCUGACCUAGAGUUGACUUCUUUUUCUUUAAUAGCUUUCCAUUUUCUCUUCGUUUUGCUCUAGAUUUCGUUUUGUGAGUUUUACCUAGAUGCAAUCUACUCUAAAACCUAAUUGAUACGGUUUAGAGUUGCUUCGGAUUUUUGUUGAAAUUGAGUUCUUGAUUCUUUUUGGUAAUUUAGGGUUUUGUUUGAGGAUUUAAUUAUGGUUAUGUGAAUUUGAUGUGUAAAAAUCAUCAGGUAAUCACCUUUGCAGUUGAAGAAACCUUAAGUAUCCAAUGUCUACGGAAGAGGAGCUACAGAGCAAUGUCUCUGUGGCAAGUUCUUCACCUACUAGCAAUUGUAUCUCCAGGAACACUCUAGGUGGACUUAAAGAGCAUAACUACUUGGGUCUCUCUGAUUGUUCUUCUGUUGGAAGCUCCACUCUCUCGCUCCUUGCUGAAGAUGACAAAGCUACUAUCAGCCUCAAGGCUACGGAGCUGACACUUGGUCUUCCUGGAUCACAAUCUCCUGCGAGAGACACAGAGCUUAACCUUUUGAGCCCAGCAAAGCUCGAUGAGAAGCCAUUCUUUCCUUUGCUUCCUUCUAAAGAUGAGAUAUGCUCGUCCUCGCAAAAGAACAAUGCAUCCGGAAACAAAAGAGGCUUUUCUGAUACAAUGGAUCAGUUUGCUGAAGCUAAAAGUUCAGUCUAUACUGAGAAAAACUGGAUGUUCCCUGAAGCUGCAGCCACCCAGUCUGUAACAAAGAAGGAUGUGCCACAAAACAUACCGAAAGGACAGUCGAGCACUACAAACAAUAGCUCUAGUCCACCUGCAGCCAAGUAUGACUAGAAAAUAGGAGCAUUCAUCCGAUUUUGAUAUGGAUUACUUUCAACAGCUAGCUAACUGGUGUUUUCUGGAUUCUGGAAAUUUCAGGGCACAAAUUGUCGGUUGGCCUCCUGUGAGAUCCUACAGGAAGAACACAUUGGCCACUACUUGUAAGAACAGUGAUGAAGUUGAUGGGAGGCCAGGUUCUGGGGCACUCUUCGUGAAGGUCAGUAUGGAUGGUGCUCCUUAUCUGAGGAAAGUUGACCUGAGGAGCUACGCUAACUACGGGGAGCUUUCUUCAGCCUUGGAGAAAAUGUUCACCACUUUCACUCUAGGUGAGAUGUUUCAGUGAUUGCUAGUGAUGUGUUUGCAAACCUCUUUCUCUUUAUGGAUCAAUGAAUGAGUGCAAUCAAAGUGGUUAACCUGCACUGUUUGUUUCAUGUUUAGGUCAAUGUGGAUCUAAUGGAGCUGCUGGGAAGGAUAUGCUUAGUGAGACCAAGCUUAAGGAUCUUUUGAAUGGAAAAGACUAUGUGCUCACUUAUGAGGAUAAGGAUGGGGACUGGAUGCUUGUUGGAGAUGUUCCAUGGGAGUAAGCUUCCUCUCUUAUAUUCAAAACUUGUUAGAAGCUUUCUCUACUCUCUGCCAGAUAUCUUAGAAUCAAAUCUAACAUGCUAUAGAAGAUUAGAUCAUGGUGAUUGGUAUAAGCGCUCCUGAGUGAUUUCUGAUCCGAUGUAUAUUACAGGAUGUUUAUUGAUGUCUGCAAGAAGCUGAAGAUAAUGAAAGGAUGUGAUGCUAUUGGGUUAGGUAAAGUCUUUUCUUCUCUCUGCUCCUAAGAUACAACGUAAACUACUAUCUCUAAAACCCAUUGCAAGUAGGUUUAUGAUGAGAUUAGUGGUUUGUUGGUGUGAGUUACUUGUAGCUGAUUUAGAAAGUUCAAUUCAUAUUUGAUCACUUGUCUUCUUUUGGGAGUAAAGACGAUAAAUUAACAUGUAAAUAUAACGUAAUUAAACUGACAUAAAUAAUAGUCGUUAUUAGGAGUUUGGUAUGGACUUUGAAUCUAAAAUGUCUUAAUGAUUCAAUGUGGUGAACUGGUGAUAUUGCAGCUGCAGCUCCGAGAGCAAUGGAGAAAUCGAAGAUGAGAGCUUAAAAGAUGGAACAUGACAAAGCUUUCUAAUUAUACAAAAUAUGUGCGAUCUUUUGGUGGUGUUUUUAAUUCAAAACAUCAAUAACUUUAGUUUCUGAGAUUUUAAAAAGAAGUAAGACUACGAAUGUAAGGAAAUGAAGAAGAAUUAAAAAUGAUCUAUUUUUGUUGUUGUUUGUUGCUUUAGUCGAACCAGUAAACUGGUCGUUGUUUUAUGUUUUGGGUUUGAUUUGGAUGUGUGGUUGACUUCUAUCUUUGAGAUAUUAUUUGAUGUAACUCUCUUUUUUUUUUAAAAUGUAAAUUAAUUUGUGAUUUUUUAACAUGGAGUAGUGUUUGAUGCAUUUGUGAAUUCUUAUACAAAAUUUUAGAAACCUAUAUAAUAUAACAAGAAAGAAAAAAAGAGAAAAAAAAAAAAAGAGAAAAAAAGAAACAAAUCAAUAUACCCUAUUCUUAAUUAGUUCAUUGCUAAUCUAAUAGACAUGAUCUACACGCAAACAUUGUGACUGAUGAUAGUGUAGAUGAUCUACGCGAGGAUAGAAUCGGAAUUUAAUAUUUGCAGACAACCAUCCCCUUUCGGGUGGAGCCAGAAAGUGGAAUUUUUAUUUAAAGAUCCGACUCCCGACAACUAUAUAUCAACGGUUCAUAUCCGCUGAUUUAAAUCGGACGGUUCAUAAUUAUUAACAUGAUCAAAUCUGAGCCGUUGGAUUAGAAUCCGUUCCUAAACAAAAAUACGCAACUUUCUCCACUUAUUUACUAUUCUGCCACUUUCUUUAAUUUAAUUUUUAAUCUCGGCUACGAGUUUCUGGGUGAUGAUAAUUAAGCUUUUUUUCUUUCUGCUUUGCUUUAAUGGAAGGACCUUGACACUUCUCUCUCUCUCUUUCUCUUUCUCUUUGCUAUUCAUCUUCUACAGUUUCGUAAAAAAUAUUCUCUUCUUCUCCAAAAUAUCUGUUACUCUAAUUUUUGAUCGUCUUCUUCUUUGUCUUGAGCUUCCAUUUUUCCAUCAACGAUUUGUUUUUCCCUUGAGGUAACUUUUUCUUCUCUGUUCUUUCUAAUCUGGUAAUUUUGAGCUUGAUGAUGUUUGUGUGUGAAUAUGUGUGUUAGUAGUUACUAGAUCUACGUUGUUUUGAAAAAAAUUUAGUAGAUCUACGAGCUAUUGAGUUUCUUCUUCGAUUUUUUUCACUCUAUAGCGACAUCUUGGUUUCUGUGAGCUGUUGGCUAGGUUUAGUAUUACUAUUAAACCAGUUCUGGUUUUGGCUUAUUUAGGAUACAAAUAAAC
rnacentral:lncRNA from 1 species